rnacentral:ncRNA from 1 species
GAGCUGCACAACUGGCGGAAAAGCAGGAGACUGCCGUGGAGUACCACGAGGGAGUGCAGGAAGGGCGUAAACCUAAACCAAAGAAGGAUAUAAACGCCGCUUGAAAGAAGCCGACCGCCUGGGCAAU